rnacentral:rRNA from 1 species
GCCCAGUGAACUUUUUUAACGGCCGCGGUAUUCUAACCGUGCAAAGGUAGCGUAAUCACUUGUCUUCUAAAUAAAGACCUGUAUGAACGGCUAAAUGAGGGCGGGCCUGUCUCCUGCGCCCUAUCAGUGAAACUGAUCCCCCAGUCCAAAAGCUGGAAUCUCCUCACAAGACGAGAAGACCCUGUGGAGCUUUAAACCUAAUACUAAUGAACUAGUACCUGUUUUGAGUUGGGGCGACUUCGGAACAAAAUAAAACUUCCGAGCACAGAACCACUACUUCUUAGCCGAGGCCAACAAGCCAAAGAACUGACCCAGUCACACUGAUCAACGAACCAAGUUACCCCAGGGAUAACAGCGCCAUCUUCUUCAAGAGUUCAUAUCGACAAGAAGGUUUACGACCUCGAUGUUGGAUCAGGACACCCAAAUGGUGCAGCCGCUAUUAAAGGUUCGUUUGUUCAACGAUUAACAGUCCUACGUGAUCUG